AAAGCAUAGGAAUCAUGAAUUAUUGAACUUUUUUUUUUAUUUUUUUUAUUAAAGAAAAUUUAAAAAACUGACUCUUUAAUUGUCAUUUUU
rnacentral:ribozyme from 1 species